AUUUUAAUCAAUGACAAACCAAGCAACUGUUGCCCAGUCCAAGGUAGCCCAAGACAGUAACUGGGCUGCACCGACCACCUUGUCAAUCUCAUAUUCUGGUCAGCUCCAAUGAACAGUGUAUGCGUGGACAUUGUUGGCUCUGCGGGAUGAAAGAUAGGUUGCAGAGAAAAGGGACCAAUGGAAUUGCUUUUAGCACAACACUCUGAUCGCUGCACAGUUUCAUGCUGCUAUAUGGCAUUGUGUCAUUGGUGUGGACUGAUUGCUGUAAAAGUGGAUUAAGACGUCUGAGGAGGUGCUGGUUCCAAGGAUAUUCUUGCCCGAGUUAUGAUGCCAAACUGACCAAGUCCUCCAAGAACACUGUGAAAUAGGUCGCUAUUUUGCUUCUCCGAGCAAUUUAGUACUUCCCCUUUUCCUGCACUCAGUUUCAGUAAUUUUACAUAAAGGAUUUGUGCGAUACACGAUUUUUUUUCAUGCUAUUUAUUCAUAUGUGUGUGCUCGUGAACCCUCAUGUGUUUUAUUUUUGUACUUGAACAUCAAAUUAUUGGCAAUGGUCAAGUUAUCUUAUGUGGAACCAAGGUGUGGCACAGCAUGCAUAGCAAGGACGUCAUAAAUACUUCACUCGACCCUGGUUCCAUUAUGCCUAGAUUGAAAUUAUCCUUUUGUGAUG